CCUAUGUAGGCAAAAACACAAAACAUUGUAGGUUUUCUUUUAUAAAUAAAUUUUUAUCUUACUUAACCCUGUAAGACCCACUGUUUCAGAAUUACAUCAAUUGUGGUUAUUCCCCAAAACCCCCUUUGUCUUUUUUAAUUGUUUGUUUUCCACAUCAAUAUGAUCUGUGGGUCCUACAUUUUAUUCCCACCACGUAAUUGAAUCCAGGAUUUGUGUACAAAGCCCACCCUUAAGUCAAGAAAUGACACAUCCAACAACUUUCUGAUCAAGCAACAUGCCUUUGAAUUACUGGACUGGAUUCAUCUUCAAAAUGCCACCAGCAAAGGAGAAAUCCUCGGUACAAUGUGCACAAUGUAAUCCAAAAGUUUGUGUCAGAAGAUUUGGUUCAAGCUCUGGCAACAAAUACGAAUGAGUACAGCUUUCAAAAUGACGAAAGAUCAGUCAACACUAAUACAAAAGAAAUACAGGCAGCAUUGGGCAUGUACCUGAGGAUGGAACAUUACAUUUUGUAAACAAUUUAACCUUGCCAGAGACUGACAAGAGGGACAAACUCUGGAAACUCAGACCACAGCUUGAUUCAAAACUGCCUGCAGAUGGUACCAGAAAAGCACAUUCCAUGGACAAGAUGAUGAUCCCCUUCAACAGGAAGUUCAGCGGCAUCAAGAAGUAUAUGCAAGGUAAUCUACGCUCAUGGGGCUUUGAAGUAUGGGUGAAAGCUGAAAUCUCUAGCAUGAUGCUUGACUUUGAUGUUUACCAAGGGAGCAACAAUGAAGUACGAGUCAAAUCUAAACUUGGAUUGUCAGGUGGUGUUGUAAUGAAGCUUGCCUCCACAUUUCCAAAGGGUCAACACAACAAGAUCUAGGCAGACAACCACUUCACCUCCAUUCCACUGGUAGUGAAGCUCCUUGAGGAAGGAAUGCAUUAUGUGUGAACAGCCAGGCAAAUGCAUCUACCGAACAGUAAUCUUUACAUGCGAAGAGCUUGAAGAAGAAGGGCAGAGGAAGCUUUGACCACAGAGUGGUGGGGAAACAACAUCUGUGCUGUCAAAUGGUACGACAACAGGGCGGUGACACUUGUGUCAUCCUUCGCUGGACCAGGACCUGUUCAGGAGAUUCAAGACUGGGACAAAGCCGCCAAAACCUACAUUGACGUUAGAAAGGCUUCCAUUGUGGGCAUCUACAAUAAAUACAUGGGAGGUGUGGAUCUGUUGGACUCAUUUACAGCAAAUCACAAGUAUGCACUGAAAUCCUGGUGGUGGUACAUGUGCAUCUUCUGGCACACAAUGACCCUUACUGUGGUCAACGCCUGGCUCCUCUACAAGCAGCACAGCCUAUGCUCUCAGGAUGCCAAAGAAGGAGAUACUGAACAUGAGAAAGUUCCAAGCACAGCUGGCUUCCUCUCUCAUUGCGAUUCUAAUCUGGUGGACAGAACACUGAAAACGCCAAAGAGAGGACGGCCAUUUUCAGCCAACAAGAGCCCAGAGACAGGAGCCCUCUGAAUGGUGGAAAGAGACCACACAUGGAUGAUGGAAGUCCAAAGGCUCCCUCUUCUAAAAAGUCACGCAAACCACCGCCCAUGGACGUGCGCAUGGACCAAACUGGACAUUUCCCCCUGAAGACAAAGAGAGGGCUCUGCAGAUGUUGCAGUAAAGGGUACACCAAUACCCAAAGCAGCAAGUGUGAUGUCCGCCUCUGUUUUUCAGAGGACAGGAACCGUUUCUGGGAUUACCACUAUAGAGAAGAGAGAACACUGCAGACGUUGCACUGUUAACAAUGUAAAUAAAUAAAGUUCUUAUUUGUUGGAAUAAACAACUCUUCAUAAUAACAUGACUGAGAUUAUUAUUCAUUUUAUACACUGGUUUGAGACUUGGAUGAAGGAACACUAGCAGUUAGGAGGUAUUUAAGGUGAUGGGAGGUUGUUGGAGUUUUUCAACUGGUCACUGUACACCUCUGUCGUUGGAGGAAAUACAAGCAUUUUUCCUGAAUAACUCCAUAAAGUGUUAAAGAUUUUUUUUUU